CUACUUACCUGGCAGGGGAGACACGACGAUCACGAUCACGAAGGUGGUUCUCCCAGGGCGAGGCUGGUCCGCUGCGCCCCGGGCGUGCCGACCCCUGCGGCUUCCCCACCUGCGGGAAACUCGCAGCGUCAGGUGUGGCGGUGGGUCUGCGCCCGCGCUCUCCCCUG